GUGUUGUUUGUUAAGGGCACACGGUGGAUGCCUUGGCAUUAUGAGCCGAUGAAGGACGUGUAAGGCCGCGAUAGGCCUCGGGGAGUUGCCAAUAGAGCGUUGAUCCGAGGGUGUCCGAAUGGGGAAACCUGGCCAUGGUUAUGUGUGGUUACCCAUCAGUGAAUUCAUAGCUGGUGUGGGGGUGACGCGGGGAAGUGAAACAUCUCAGUACCCGUAGGAGAAGAAAAUAAUUAAUGAUUCUGCUAGUAGUGGCGAACGAACGUGGAUGAGGCUAAACCGUAUGCGUGUGAUACCUGGCAGGGGUUGCGUGUGUGGUGUUGUGGGGCGUUGUUGGAGGAGGCUGCCGGCUCCUCGCUUGUUAUAUGUGUGUGUUAGCGGAAGUGGUUUGGAAUGGCCUGCCGUAGUGGGUGAGAGUCCCGUACGUGAAAACAUGUGCAUGCGAGUGGAUGAUGUUCCCGAGUAGCAGCGGGCUCGUGGAAUCUGCUGUGAAUCUGCCGGGACCACCCGGUAAGCCUAAAUACUUAUGAUGACCGAUAGCGGAUUAGUACCGUGAGGGAAUGGUGAAAAGUACCCCGGGAGGGGAGUGAAAUAGUACCUGAAACCGUGUGCUUACAAUCCGUCAGAGCCUUGUUUGUUAGGUGAUGGCGUGCCUUUUGAAGAAUGAGCCUGCGAGUCAGCGGCAUGUCGCGAGGUUAACCCGUGUGGGGUAGUCGUAGCGAAAGCGAAUCCUAAUGAGGGUGUUUUUAAGUGGCAUGUCCUGGACCCGAAGCGGGGUGAUCUACCCAUGGCCAGUGUGAAGCAGCUGUAAGAGGUUGUGGAGGCGCGAACCCACUUAGGUUGAAAACUGAGGGGAUGAGCUGUGGGUAGGGGUGAAAGGCCAAUCAAACUCCGUGAUAGCUGGUUCUCCCCGAAAUGCAUUUAGGUGCAGCGUUGUGUGUUUCUUGCUGGAGGUAGAGCUACUGGUUGGUUGAGCGGGACUACAAUCUUAGCAAUGUCAGCCAAACUCCGAAUGCCGGUAAUGUUAAGCAUGGCAGUGAGACUGCGGGGGAUAAGCUCCGUUGGUCGAGAGGGAAACAGCCCAGAUCGCCGGUUAAGGCCCCUAAGGGUGUACUAAGUGGAAAAGGAUGUGGGAUCGCGAAGACAGCCAGGAGGUUGGCUUAGAAGCAGCCAUCCUUGAAAGAGUGCGUAAUAGCUCACUGGUCGAGUGGUUCUGCGCCGACAAUGUAGUGGGGCUCAAGUACACCGCCGAAGCCGCGGCAGUCAACAAUUUUUUUGUUGGUUGGGUAGGGGAGCGUCGUGCACUGCUGUGAAGCACCUGGGUGACUUGAUGGUGUGGAGUGUGUGCGAGUGAGAAUGCAGGCAUGAGUAACGAAUGAAAAGUGGAAAACUUUUCCGCCGGAUGACUAAGGGUUCCUGGGUUAAGCUAAUCUUCCCAGGGUGAGUCGGGACCUAAGGCGAGGCCGACAGGCGUAGUCGAUGGAUAACCAGUUGAUAUUCUGGUACCCGUGUAUGUGCGCCCAGUGGUGAAUCAGUGGUACUAACCAUCCAUUGAUCUGCUGGUCAUGCUUUGUGUGUGGUUGGUGGUGAUGUGCGUGGGAUCUUCGUUGGUAGUAGCCAAGUGAUGGGGUGACGCAGUGAGGUAGCUGAGCCAUUUAUUGGAUUGUGGUGUAAGCGUGUGGCCCGUGGCAUAGGUAAAUCCGUGUUACAUAGUGGGUGAGGCGUGAUGCGUAGACCUUUGUGGUUGAUGUUGGUGAUCCUGUACUGUCGAGAAAAGCCUCUAGCGAGUGCAUAUAUGGCCCGUACCCAUAACCGACACAGGUGGUCAGGUAGAGAAUACUAAGGCGAUCGGGUGAACUGUGGUUAAGGAACUCGGCAAAUUGCCCCCGUAACUUCGGGAGAAGGGGGACCAUUGCUGGUGACCGACGUGGUUGAGCUGGUGGUGGUCGCAGAGAAUAGAGGGAAGCGACUGUUUAUUAAAAACACAGGUCCGUGCGAAAACGUGGAAGUUGAUGUAUACGGACUGACGCCUGCCCGGUGCUGGAAGGUUAAGAGGACCUGUUAGGGCAUUUUUUGUCCGAAGCGGAGAAUUUAAGCCCCAGUAAACGGCGGUGGUAACUAUAACCAUCCUAAGGUAGCGAAAUUCCUUGUCGGGUAAGUUCCGACCUGCACGAAUGGCGUAACGACUUCCCUGCUGUCUCAACCACAGGCCCGGUGAAAUUGCAGUACGAGUAAAGAUGCUCGUUACGCGCGGCAGGACGAAAAGACCCCGGGACCUUCACUAUAGCUUGGUAUUGGUGUUUGGUUCGGUUUGUGUAGGAUAGGUGGGAGACUGUGAAGUGGUCACGCUAGUGGUUGUGGAGUCGAAAGUUGAAAUACCACUCUGAUCGGAUUGAGCACCU
rnacentral:rRNA from 1 species